GCGGCGUGCUUAACACAUGCAAGUCGAACGGAAAGGCCCUGCUUUUGUGGGGUGCUCGAGUGGCGAACGGGUGAGUAACACGUGAGUAACCUGCCCUUGACUUUGGGAUAACUUCAGGAAACUGGGGCUAAUACCGGAUAGGAGCUCCUGCUGCAUGGUGGGGGUUGGAAAGUUUCGGCGGUUGGGGAUGGACUCGCGGCUUAUCAGCUUGUUGGUGGGGUAGUGGCUUACCAAGGCUUUGACGGGUAGCCGGCCUGAGAGGGUGACCGGCCACAUUGGGACUGAGAUACGGCCCAGACUCCUACGGGAGGCAGCAGUGGGGAAUAUUGCACAAUGGGCGGAAGCCUGAUGCAGCAACGCCGCGUGCGGGAUGACGGCCUUCGGGUUGUAAACCGCUUUCGCCUGUGACGAAGCGUGAGUGACGGUAAUGGGUAAAGAAGCACCGGCUAACUACGUGCCAGCAGCCGCGGUGAUACGUAGGGUGCGAGCGUUGUCCGGAUUUAUUGGGCGUAAAGGGCUCGUAGGUGGUUGAUCGCGUCGGAAGUGUAAUCUUGGGGCUUAACCCUGAGCGUGCUUUCGAUACGGGUUGACUUGAGGAAGGUAGGGGAGAAUGGAAUUCCUGGUGGAGCGGUGGAAUGCGCAGAUAUCAGGAGGAACACCAGUGGCGAAGGCGGUUCUCUGGGCCUUUCCUGACGCUGAGGAGCGAAAGCGUGGGGAGCGAACAGGCUUAGAUACCCUGGUAGUCCACGCUGUAAACGGUGGGUACUAGGUGUGGGGUCCAUUCCACGGGUUCCGUGCCGUAGCUAACGCUUUAAGUACCCCGCCUGGGGAGUACGGCCGCAAGGCUAAAACUCAAAGGAAUUGACGGGGCCCCGCACAAGCGGCGGAGCAUGCGGAUUAAUUCGAUGCAACGCGUAGAACCUUACCUGGGUUUGACAUGGAUCGGGAGUGCUCAGAGAUGGGUGUGCCUCUUUUGGGGUCGGUUCACAGGUGGUGCAUGGCUGUCGUCAGCUCGUGUCGUGAGAUGUUGGGUUAAGUCCCGCAACGAGCGCAACCCUUGUUCACUGUUGCCAGCACGUUAUGGUGGGGACUCAGUGGAGACCGCCGGGGUCAACUCGGAGGAAGGUGGGGAUGACGUCAAGUCAUCAUGCCCCUUAUGUCCAGGGCUUCACGCAUGCUACAAUGGCUGGUACAGAGAGUGGCGAGCCUGUGAGGGUGAGCGAAUCUCGGAAAGCCGGUCUCAGUUCGGAUUGGGGUCUGCAACUCGACCUCAUGAAGUCGGAGUCGCUAGUAAUCGCAGAUCAGCGACGCUGCGGUGAAUACGUUCCCGGGGCUUGUACACACCGCCCGUCAAGUCAUGAAAGUUGGUAACACCCGAAGCCGGUGGCCUAACCGUUGUGGGGGAGCCGUCGAAGGUGGGACUGGUGAUU
rnacentral:rRNA from 1 species